AUCAUGGAGAGUUUGAUCCUGGCUCAGAACGAACGCUGGCGGCGCGUCUUAAGCAUGCAAGUCGAGCGAUAGGGAGCAGCAAUGCUUCUGAAAGCGGCGGACUGGUGAGGAACGCG
rnacentral:rRNA from 1 species